CUCAUUCCAUUCAACCCAUCUUUCAGUUACUUCAAAUCACAAAGUCCUUUCUUUCAACAUCCUAACAGUCAACUUAUUUUACUACAGUCAUAUGUCUGUCAAUAAUAUGCUAAUACAUCAGUCAAUCCACUAUAGAGUCAAUGCACCCCUCAGUUCACCAGCACACAGUCAUACUUUAGCGUAAUCAUACACCCAAUCUAAACGAGAAUCUCAUACAAACACAAUCUACAAUCUCCGUGCUGUCCACAUACACACAUUUAUAUAUAGAUUCCAUGACAAUCACGACAUACAUUCGACGUCAAGUCUACUUCAAUUCAUAUACAUUCAUAUAUAUUUUCAGUCAACCCCAGUAUACAUUCAACACACAUACAGUUCACAAUCACAGUUCACAAUCACAAUUGAGUCCAGUAGAAAAUCCCUUACCUCAAGGUUAUGUAAGUUUUUCAAUCGGGCUAAAUUCAAUAAGUCAAAUUCCAAGUAGAAUGAAGCAACAAUUCCAAUGAAGCUCACGUUGGAACUUAGAUAUCUAAGCACGACCUCUUCAGUAUCACCUUAAAAUCAGCAUUACCCAAAUCAAUUAACCAGUUUUUAAAACUUACUAGCCAAGAACAAUAUUACUAUAUCCACAAUACCAAUCAACUCACAACUUGGAGGUCAAAUCCACGAUUAGAAGGCAGAAUUCACGCGCGGCGACGUUUUUGCAAACGAAGGCAGAAGGGUUUUGGACGUUCAACAGCAGUUACGCGCGGACGGGAGUAGCCCGGCAACGUAGCCGAACUCGUGCGAUGCGGCGUGACCUGCAUCGGCGAGGCUGUUCGUGACUGAGGCGUGCGACUUGCCUCGCGGACGGAGAUAGAGACGGCGGAGACGGUUGCAGAACCGUGGCUUCGACAGAGACAGAACCGGCUGAGACGGUUGGGCAGCGGCGGAAGAGCAACGGCGCUGCAGAUCUGGACUGGCAGCGGCGGCGGUCUUGCUUCGCGGCGGGGUUGCGGACGGAAGAAGAAAAUGGAAGGAAAGGAUCGGCGGCUGGCUGCGGUUGGCUGCGGUUGGCUGCGGCGGGACGGGAAGAAGAAGAUAGAGGUGGUGGUUGUGGCUGGGCUGCGGCUGGCCACGAACAGAAGGAGAAGAGGACGGUUGGGGCGGUUGCUGCACGAACGGAGAGAAGGGGAAGAAAAGAAAAAUGAGGGAGGGGUUGUGUGCGGCGCUCGCGCGAGAGGAAGAAGGAAGGAAAAAUAUAUUAUUUUCUUUUCUUUUAUUUUCUUUUUUAUUUACCUUUUCUUUAUUUAAUAUAAUAACUAAUAAUAAUAAUAAUAAAUAUAUAGUAUUAUUAUUAUUAUAUACAUUUCUAAUCCCCUUUCUCCCUUAGCUUACUUUUUUUUUAAAAAAAUAAAUCUUGAACAAAUCGAAUAAAUUUUCUUAAAAUAAAAUACCUUCGAGUUUGGGCCGUUACAUUCUUCCCUCCUUAAGGAACUUUCGUCCUCGAAAGUUUUAAUCCUGAAAUAACUAUGGAUAACGAGUCCUCAUCUCUUCUUCUCGCUCCCAUGUCGCCUCUUGAAUUCGACGAUUCCGCCACAAAACCUUUACUAAUGGAAUGCUUCUAUUACGAAGCAUCUUUACCUCUCUAGCCAAAAUCUCCACAGGUUGUUCUACAUAGCUCAAAUGCUCAUCAAUCUCGAAGGGUUCAUAGUCCACUACAUGAGAUGUAUCAGCCGCAUAGUUCCUCAACAUCGAAACAUGGAAAACAUUAUGAACUGCAGAGAGAGAUGGUGGUAAUGCCAAGCGAUACGCCACAACACCAACCCUCUCUAAGAUCUCAAAUGGUCCAACAAAACGAGGAGUUAACUUUCCUUUCUUCUCAAAACGCAUAACACCCUUCAUAGGUGCUACCUUCAAGAAUACCUUUUCUCCCACAUCGAACUUAAGGUCUUUUCGCCGUACAUCCGCAUAACUCUUCUGUCUACUCUGCGCUGUUUGCAUACGUGCUCUAAUCUUUUGAAUAGCCUCAUUAGUAGACCGAACUAAUUCAGGUCCCAUCAACCCUAUGUUCACCAACCUCACUCCAACAAACAGGGGUUCUACAACAUUUGCCAUACAAAGCCUCAAAAUGGUGCCAUACCGAUGGUAGCCUGAAAACUGUUGUUAUAAGCAAACUCCAUCAAAUGUAGAUGAGAGUCCCAACUACCUGGAAACUCUAUAACACAAGCUCGUAACAUAUCCUCUAAAACUUGGUUCAAAACGUUCAGUUUGACCAUCAGUCUGUGGAUGAAAGGCUGUACUAAAAUCCAAUCUCGUACCCAUAGCAGUCUGAAGUCCCUUCCAAAACUUGGAAGUAAACCGUGCAUCCCUAUCAGAAACAAUCGAUACAGGCACUCCAUGCAGUCUCACAAUCUCAGUUAAAUACAACUCUGCCCACUUACUAGCAGUAUAGGUGGAUUUCCCUGGUACAAAAUGUGCCGAUUUCGUAAGCCUAUCGACAAUAACCCAAAUCACUGUGUAACCCUUCAGGGUUUUAGGGAAUUAUAUAAUAAAAUCCAUAGAUACAUUCUCCCACUUCCACUCUAAUAUACUCAAAGGUUGCAACAAACCUGUUGUUUUCUAUCUUGGUGCUUUAACCUACUAGCACACUAAGCACUUACUAACAAGAUUUUCCAUUUCUCUCUUCAUAUUACGCUAGUAACAAACUCUUUUCAAAUCCGGAUACAUUUUUGUGCUACUUGGAUGCAUGAGAAAUGGGAAACUAUGAGUCUCAACCAAUAACCUUGUCUUAAUUGCAUUUUCUGUUGGCACACACAAUUCUCUCUCAAACAUAAGUUCAUCAUCAAAGGAUAUGGAAAACUCCUUAACUUGCCCUACUUCUACUAGGUGAUGCUUCUCAAUCAAAUAAGGAUCAAUGAAUUGAACCACAAGAAUUCUUUGUCUCAAGGUCGGAUGUACUGACAACUGAGCUAACUUUGAGGUGACUUCCCCCACUGAAACUACAAUCUCAGCUCUCUCGUGGUUUUUGUCUAAUGAAACCUGUCUGGUAAUAAGUGCUGUCAAAAUGUGAUACUUUUCUACGAAGAGCACCAACUUCCACAUUCGCCUUACUUAGAUGGUACAAAAUCUCACAAUCAUAGUCAUUUACUAAUUCAAACCAUCUUUGCUAUCUCAUACUCAACUUCUUUGAGUGAAGAAGUAUUUUAUACUCUUUUGGUUAGAAAAUAUCUAUAUCUUUUCAUCAUACAAAUAGUGCCUUCAAAUCAUUAAUGUAAAAACCACAACUGUCAAUUUCAUAUCAUAAGUUGGAUAAUUUUCCUCAUGACUCUUCAACUGACGAGGAGCACAAGCAACUACUUUAACUUGUUGAAUCAGAAUACCUUUUAAACUUUCCUAAAAGAAUCACUAUAAAUUACAAAACUUUCUGAACCAUCAUGUACGGUAAGCACGGGAGUUGUACAAGCUUCUACCUAAGAUCCUGAACACUAUCCUCAUAGGCUUGUCCCAAAAAAAAAACGGAGUCCCUUUUCUUAGUUAACUGAGUCAAAGGAGUAGCUAUACGAGAAAAUUCUUAUACAAACCGUUAGUAAUAACCUGCUAAACCCAAAAGACUAUGAACCUCACUGACUAUGAAAAGUCGAGGCCAACUAGUAACAACUUCAAUCUUUUGUGAGAUCCACAUAAAUGUCACCUCUAGAUACCACAUGGCUUGGAAAGAUACUUGGCCUCAUCCAAAACUCACAUUUUGAAAACUUUGCAUACAAUUCGUUGACUCGAGCCCCUUUAAAACCAUGUUAAAUGCUCCUCAUGCGCUGUCUCUAUUUUGGAAUAAAUUAAGAUAUCGUCAAUAAAUACAAUCAUGAAAGUGUCUAAGAGAUCGUUAAACACUUUGUUCAUCAAGUCGUAAACAUUGUUUGAGCAUUUGCCCACUCAAAAGACAUCAUAAUGAACUCGUGAUGUCCAUAUCUCGAACGAAAAUCUGCCUUAGGAAUGUCACUGUUCUCUAAUCCUCAACAAGUCAUAACCUGAAUGUAAUUCAAUCUUAAAGAACACGGACUUAUUGCAGUUGAUCAAACAAAUCCUCAUUCAUUGGUAAAAGAUAUUUAUUCUUAACCGACACCUUAUUCAACUUUCUACAAUCAAAACAUAAGUGCAUCGACCCAUCUUUCUUCUUAAUAAACAAAAAUUGGUGCACCCCAAGAUAACAUACUUCGUCGAAUGUAGUCCUUGUCAAACAUUUCUUUCAAUUGCACCUUCAAAUCUUUCAACUCUGUUGGGCCAUUUUGUAUGAAGCUUUAGAUAUAGGAACGAGUCUAACUCUAUCUCAAUAACAAGACCAAUUUCUGUUUAGCGCACGAUAAUCUUAGAAACUCUUCUAGAAAAAUAUCAUAAUACUUUUUCACCACUGAUUCAAAUAACAAAGAAACAUCGACUUCUCUGGUGUCUACCACACUAGUCAAAUACAACAGGUACCCUGGUCAAGCAACUUACUAACCUUCAUAGCUGGGAUAACUUUUAGCGAAACGAUAGUUCCAACCUCUUUGUACUUGAAACUAACCUCUGGAGAAGGAUUAGAAACUACAUUUUCGCUGACACAUUUUAUGUUUACAUGGUUAAACUACAUUCCAAUUUUCAAACUCCAAACUAGUAACUUUUCAUUCACGAGAAAACUCAAAAUUGUUUCUUAAAGUCACAUCAAGACAACCAUGCUCAUCUUCCUUGUUUCUUUUCCAAUACCUCCAUUCUAAAACCAUUUAAUGUGUUUCGUAUAAACUUGACCGUGUAUUUAGUCCUCGUUAAAACCACCUAUAUAACUUAUUUUUCUUAGAUUUCCAAUCACAAAACAAACAAUUUCGCUAACAACGUCUUACUUUUCUACUACUCGACCACUCCUUUGAACACCUCUACAUGGCAACAUUUUUCCUAAAUUUCACCAUUAAAUCCUUCACCAUUAAAUCAUAACAUUCAUGUAAUUCUAGUUUAACUUAGGCAAGGUCAUAUACAUAAACCAUACAUAUAAGCAUAAAGCAUACCUGACGAGAGACGAAGGGUCGCGUUUGCCAUAGGGACACAAAAACAUAGACUUACAUCGUAAGUCAGUCUACAGAACCUAAAACUUAGGCUCUGAUACCAACUGUAACGACCCAACUUUUCUGGGUAAGUCGAGGUCGUUAAUUUUUGACAAAAGACUUUGGUUGAUACAAAUUGAAACAUAAGUCAAUUUAAAAACAAAACAUGUCAGGCCUGAUUUUCAAAUAUUCAAGAAAAAUUAACAAUAACACUAUUUACAAAUAAAAGUUUGUAAACUAAGUUUUAGUACAUCUUAAACCUUAAAAGAAAUCAUAAGCGGAAGCAAAAUAACACAUUCCCUAUGGCAAUCACGCUUCCUUCCUGCCCCUCGCCGGUUUGCCACCUUUAUUUCCUUUGCCUGAAAAUUAAACAUAAGAAGGGUGAGUAUAACAAUACUCAGUAAGAGACCCUCUACUGGUCUCGUCAGGGGAAAAUAAAUUGUUAAAGUUCUAUUGGGACACCCUGUACAGUCGCAGUCUUGUGAUCCCGUAGGAUACACAUUUCAGUCUAACGCCCCGAGGGACAUACAUAUCAGUCUGACGCCCCGAGGGACGUACAUAUCAGUCUGACGCCCCGAGGGACGUACAUAUCAGUCUGACGCCCCGAGGGACGUACAUAUCAGUCAAGUGUUCUGCAGAAACACAUAUCAGUCAAAUGCUCCCGAAGGUGCAAAAUAAAUUGGUGAUCCCGUGGGACACCUACAAGGUAAACAUCCCAAUACAACCUAACAAUUUAUCCCCUCAUUCCAUUCAACCCAUCUUUCAGUUACUUCAAAUCACAAAGUCCUUUCUUUCAACAUCCUAACAGUCAACUUAUUUUACUACAGUCAUAUGUCUGUCAAUAAUAUGCUAAUACAUCAGUCAAUCCACUAUAGAGUCAAUGCACCCCUCAGUUCACCAGCACACAGUCAUACUUUAGCGUAAUCAUACACCCAAUCUAAACGAGAAUCUCAUACAAACACAAUCUACAAUCUCCGUGCUGUCCACAUACACACAUUUAUAUAUAGAUUCCAUGACAAUCACGACAUACAUUCGACGUCAAGUCUACUUCAAUUCAUAUACAUUCAUAUAUAUUUUCAGUCAACCCCAGUAUACAUUCAACACACAUACAGUUCACAAUCACAGUUCACAAUCACAAUUGAGUCCAGUAGAAAAUCCCUUACCUCAAGGUUAUGUAAGUUUUUCAAUCGGGCUAAAUUCAAUAAGUCAAAUUCCAAGUAGAAUGAAGCAACAAUUCCAAUGAAGCUCACGUUGGAACUUAGAUAUCUAAGCACGAC
rnacentral:lncRNA from 1 species